UACGUAGGAGGCAAGCGUUGUCCGGAAUUACUGGGUGUAAAGCGCGUGUAGGUGGUGGGCCAAGUCUGUGGUGAAAUCGCCCGGCUCAACUGGGCGGGGUCCGUGGAAACUGGUCGACUGGAGGACGGUAGAGGCGAGUGGAAUUCCCGGUGUAGUGGUGAAAUGCGUAGAGAUCGGGAGGAACACCAGUGGCGAAGGCGGCUCGCUGGGCCGGUCCGUGACACUGAGACGCGAAGGCGUGGGGAGCGAACGGG
rnacentral:rRNA from 1 species